AGCGAGGUAUAGAGUUCCUACGUUGUAUUUAGAAUUGUAGGAACUUCAUACCGUGCUCU
rnacentral:pre_miRNA from 1 species